rnacentral:rRNA from 1 species
AUUGAACGCUGGCGGCAUGCCUUACACAUGCAAGUCGAACGGCAGCGCGGACUUCGGUCUGGCGGCGAGUGGCGAACGGGUGAGUAAUACAUCGGAACGUACCCUGUUGUGGGGGAUAACUAGUCGAAAGAUUAGCUAAUACCGCAUACGACCUGAGGGUGAAAGUGGGGGACCGGAAACGGCCUCAUGCAGCAGGAGCGGCCGAUGUCUGAUUAGCUAGUUGGUGGGGUAAAGGCCCACCAAGGCGACGAUCAGUAGCUGGUCUGAGAGGACGAUCAGCCACACUGGGACUGAGACACGGCCCAGACUCCUACGGGAGGCAGCAGUGGGGAAUUUUGGACAAUGGGGGCAACCCUGAUCCAGCAAUGCCGCGUGUGUGAAGAAGGCCUUCGGGUUGUAAAGCACUUUUGUCCGGAAAGAAAUCGCGCUGGUUAAUACCUGGCGUGGAUGACGGUACCGGAAGAAUAAGCACCGGCUAACUAGGUG